GGCACAUGAACUGUACAAUAAAAUUAAAGAGACAUUCCCUAGACCUAACUUCACCAAAAAAAUGAGACAAAGCACACUUAGUCAGCAAGAGGAAAGAAAAAAAGAUAGUAAACAAGCACCUAGCUCUGACUCAACAAAGAAAGACAAACAAGUUUAUUCAAUAGUUAAUCAUCUUGAACUCAAUGAUGAGAGAGAGAGAUAAGCAUCUAAGAUUAGAAGCUAAUUUUGCUGUGAAAAAGAGAGAGGACAAGGAGCCACCAUACUCAAGAACAACAGAAUAAGAAAUAUGAAGGGCUCUUAUUCUUUGUUACCAAAUCUCUGGGCAAUAAUAGGGCGGACAUCAUCAACAUCAACCAGGGUCUCCAAAAAUGGAAGCAGUGAAAUUAAAGCAGAAUCCAAUGGAUCAUCAAUCCAACUCUUGAUAGGAAUACCGUUGUUCACUUGUAAUCGGAAAACCUGUGGAUAAUUAUCUACAAUGACAACUUUUGCUAAAUCAAUGCCUAAAACUGUCAAAUCCUUGGUGUAGCAUCCAUCUGAAAAGAUGCAUGAUUCACGAUAAAGUCGACGUGAGAUGAUACAAUUAUCCGGGUCCAGUUUGUUGAGGACUUGUUCUGCGUAAAUACUUUGA
rnacentral:misc_RNA from 1 species